CACGGCCCGGGGGAGGCGCCGCUGGCCGGGCAUGGGGACCGGAGCGGGGCGGUGCCGGGCUUGGGAAGCACAGGAGGGACACGAGGAAAGUAUGAUUGGAAUUACCAGAGAGGGGGCCUAGAAACUAUCGCUGCCGGGAAUCCCUGAAAGGAUACAAAGGACAACGGAAAACGGAGAUACAAGUCCGGAGACCGAGAUAAUCACUUCAGAUGGAUAUCUCUACUCGUCUCCGUCGAAAUUAACAUAUCCACGACACACCCGGGCUCGGCCAUCAGCUGCAUUGUUCCACCCUACCGGUCCAACUUGCAUGAUUAAUGAAGACGCCUCGGAGAGGAUAACGUCAGAAUCUCGGACUUCACUCCGCGAUCUAGUGUAUAAAAAAGAGUGGCUGGAGACCAAAAUUGUGAACUUGGGGGGAUACCAGGCUGGCAGAAGCUGAUAUCCGUGUUCACCCAGCGGCGAUCCCGGGCUCGACGCUGUCCUUUUAAUUGUGGCUUUCUGAGACUGAUAUUUUGUCUCACAAUAAAAUUCUAAAUUUUUGAUA